GAACGAAAAAUUCCCCAAUUGGUCGUAUCUAUUCGAUCGAAAUGGAAAAUGGAGGCGGAGAUUUGGAGGCGAAAAUUGAGAUGUUGCUGAAUGUGGAGAAGCAGAUGAGGCAAGUGGGUGAUGUUGCAGGUACGAGGAAGGCCGUCACACCUCUUGCAAUUCUUCUUCUCACACCUCAAACAAUACCCCUCAUUUUCUCCCUCCAAGAAAGCCAAAGCCGGCGAAGGAGAGACGCCGCAGUUCCGUCCUCCCACCACCAAAAUACCCUCACCCAACCCCACCAUCAAACCAUUUCCCUUCUCCUCUGUUCACUUCUUCGAGGAAAAAAGUUAAAGAAAGCAGGUGAAGUUCAUGGUGGUAUGGCCGACCCAAAGGUUCGAAUGUGAUGGUACGGCAGCACCCGCGGGAGAAGCAGCUGCGGAUGUGGGUACAAAUCCAAGGAAGGAAAACCCCGCUGAAUAGAGUAAAGAAAACCAAGAAAAGCAGGGGGGAGAGACAGAGCGAGGAGGAGGCCUCAAAUUAUGGUUUGGGAUUACACUGGUUUUGGAUAUACAAGGUACAAUGCCAGAGACAUUAACAAAGAAAUACUAGGGUAAGCACAAUUCUGCAGCUGUCUCCUUCCGUGAUGAAACCUGUAAUGUUCACAGAUAAUCUUGUUUGUGGUUUUCAUUUAGGUGUGUUGUGGAGAAUAAAGUGCUUCAUAGAUCUUUAUUAUCAUGCUUACAGGUACUUAAAUGUUGGAAAAUGUUUGUUUUUUACAUAUAUAAGAAAGCUAAUAAUUACAAUGUCAUGCAUGGUUAUGCCUCUAUUGGUAACAGCAAGGAAUAAUAUUUGAGAGAAUGAAGAGAAGAAAUGAAAAGGCAAAAAAGAAAAACAAAAAUGAAGA